GAUCAUGGCUCAGGAUGAACGCUAGCUACAGGCUUAACACAUGCAAGUCGAGGGGCAGCAUUUCAGUUUGCUUGCAAACUGGAGAUGGCGACCGGUGCACGGGUGAGUAACACGUAUCCAACCUGCCGAUAACUCGGGGGUAGCCUUUCGAAAGAAAGAUUAAUACCCGAUGGUAUAAUUAGACCGCAUGGUCUUGUUAUUAAAGAAUUUCGGUUAUCGAUGGGGAUGCGUUCCAUUAGGCAGUUGG
rnacentral:rRNA from 1 species